CGGCCCUUUCCGCUGUCUCGCAAACAGGCACUGGCUUUAGGGAAGGUCAUUGUAUGGCCGUAUACGCAGGUGCACCUCAGCGCUUGCUAUCACGGCAUGAUCGCCAGUGGUGCUGUCGUGAUGCGGUCUUCGCAUGGACCGCGCAAUGAAGAUACGGUACUUCUGUAUCGUGCUUGUUGUAUCUGGAACGUUGUGUCUUCACGGGGAUCGGAGUUACUCAGGUAAUUCUGUACGCGUGACGCUCAGCGCCCAGGGCAAGUAAGCCAGGUAGCCGCCCUAUGGGGCGGCUUUCCUU
rnacentral:sRNA from 1 species